UACGUAGGGUGCGAGCGUUGUCCGGAUUUAUUGGGCGUAAAGGGCUCGUAGGCGGCGUGUCGCGUCGGGAGUGAAAGACCGGGGCUUAACCCCGGUUCUGCUUCCGGUACGGGCAUGCUGGAGUGUGGCAGGGGAGACUGGAAUUCCUGGUGUAGCGGUGGAAUGCGCAGAUAUCAGGAGGAACACCAAUAGCGAAGGCAGCUCGCUGGGACGUUACUGACACUGAGGCGCGAAAGCGUGGGGAGCGAACAGG
rnacentral:rRNA from 1 species